GACGAACGCUGGCGGCGGGCCUAACACAUGCAAGUCGAACGAGUGGCGGACGGGUGAGUAAUGUCUGGGAAACUGCCUGAUGGCGGGGGAUAACUACUGGAAACGGUAGCUAAUACCGCAUACCAUCAGAUGUGCCCCGAUGGGAUUAGCUUGUUGGUGGGGUAACGGCUCACCAAGGCGAAUAUCCCUAGCUGGUCUGAGAGGAUGACCAGCCACACUGGAACUGAGACACGGUCCAGACUCCUACGGGAGGCAGCAGUGGGGAAUAGUGCACAAUGGGCGCAAGCAUGAUGCAGCCAUGCAGCGUGUAUGAAGAAGGCCUUCGGGUUGUAAAGUACUUUCAGCGGGGAGGCGUUACCCGCAGAAGAAGCACCGGCUAACUCCGUGCCAGCAGCCGCGGUAAUUC
rnacentral:rRNA from 1 species